CACACUCGCCUGCACUGCAUAUUGCAGGGGACCAGGCCCUCCCUGGGCAAACAGAGACUUUGCCAGACAGCCUCACCCACAAGCUGCUCUCAUUCUCCAAAUCCAGGUUGCUGCUCGUUUAAAAUAAACUGCAGUUCUCCAGGGACCACUGAUCACAACACCUGCCUUCCUGGUUCCUCAGUCCUCUCCCCCGGGAGCAGGACCCCUGGUAGCCCACAAGGGAAGGCAUGCAGAGGAGUUCCCCCCAGACUCCUACAGCCGGAAGACUGUGUUGGAGCAGCUUCCCUCCGGUGGGAGGCCCUUAACCAGCUUCCCUAGCACCUCAACAAAGCUGUCGCACCUGGCCAGGCAUGGAUGGAUCGCAAGCAGGGCUCUCCUCAGCUGAGGCAUAGACGACCACCACUCGGGGAUCGAACUCACAACCUUGCAUUUACCAGCCAAGAGCUAAAUCCUUGGCCGACCCCCACCAAUUUCAAGGGCACACAGAAUGUUUGGAAUCAAGAAUGGGGUAUGCUGGUUCCUGGGAAGAUCUCUCCUUUCCAAACUAGAGGUUGAGAAGAUGACUCUGCCGUCUCUGCUUUCACAUUCCUGCAC